GGAGUUUGGGCCGUGUCUCAGUCCCAAUGUGGCCGAUCACCCUCUCAGGUCGGCUAUGGAUCGCGGUCUUGGUGGGCCGUUACCCCGCCAACUAACUAAUCCAACGCGGGCCCAUCUUGCACCGAUAAAUCUUUUCCGGAUAGACCAUGCGGUCCUACCGGCUUAUGCGGUAUUAGCAGUCGUUUCCAACUGUUGUCCCCCUGUGCAAGGCAGGUUACCCACGCGUUACUCACCCGUCCGCCACUAAGUGAUUCAAAUGAGUCAAUCAGGUGCAAGCACCGUCAAUCCUCGGGAGAACCACCCCGUUCGACUUGCAUGUGUUAAGCACGCCGCCAGCGUUUAUC
rnacentral:rRNA from 1 species